UACGUAGGGGGCAAGCGUUGUCCGGAAUCAUUGGGCGUAAAGAGCGUGUAGGCGGCCCGGUAAGUCUGUUGUGAAAGUCCAGGGCUCAACCCUGGAAAGCCGAUGGAUACUGUCGCGCUAGAGUGCGGAAGGGGCAAUCGGAAUUCUCGGUGUAGCGGUGAAAUGCGUAGAUAUCGAGAGGAACACCUGAGGUGAAGACGGGUUGCUGGGCCGACACUGACGCUGAGUGCGCGAAAGCCAGGGGAGCAAACGGG
rnacentral:rRNA from 1 species